rnacentral:rRNA from 1 species
UACGUAGGGUGCAAGCGUUGUCCGGAAUUAUUGGGCGUAAAGAGCUCGUAGGCGGUCUGUCGCGUCUGCUGUGAAAACUCAGGGCUUAACCCUGAGCUUGCGGUCGAUACGGGCAUGACUGGAGUUCGGCAGGGGAGACUGGAAUUCCUGGUGUAGCGGUGAAAUGCGCAGAUAUCAGGAGGAACACCGGUGGCGAAGGCGGGUCUCUGGGCCGAUACUGACGCUGGAGGAGCGAAAGCGUGGGGAGCGAACAGG